UCGGUAAUUCCAGCUCCAAAAGCGUAUAUUAAAGUUGUUGCAGUUAAAAAGCUCGUAGUUGAUUUUCGACGCAUCUGAGGGGUCCACUUCGGUGCGUACUCUGAGGGUGCGUUUUCUCUGGGGCGCCUUUUGGCAAGCCAGACUGUUACUUUGAAAAAAUUAGAGUGUUCAAAGCGGGCGAUAGCUUGAAUAUAUUAGCAUGGAAUAAUAGAGUAGGACGGAUGGAUCUAUUUUGUUGGUUUCUAGAACCAUCGUAAUGAUUAAUAGGGACGGUCGGGGGCAUCAGUAUUCAGUUGUCAGAGGUGAAAUUCUUGGAUUUACUGAAGACUAACUACUGCGAAAGCAUUUGCCAAGGACGUUUUCAUUAAUCAAGAACGAAAGUUAGGGGAUCGAAGACGAUCAGAUACCGUCGUAGUCUUAACCGUAAACUAUGCCGACUAGGGAUCGGAGGGCGUUAUAAUAACCUCUCCGGCACCUUACGAGAAAUCAAAGUUUUUGGGUUCUGGGGGGAGUAUGGUUGCAAGGCUGAAACUUAAAGGAAUUGACGGAAGGGCACCACCAGGAGUGGAGCCUGCGGCUUAAUUUGACUCAACACGGGGAAACUCACCAGGUCCAGACACAAUAAGGAUUGACAGAUUGAGAGCUCUUUCAUGAUUUUGUGGGUGGUGGUGCAUGGCCGUUCUUAGUUGGUGGAGUGAUUUGUCUGCUUAAUUGCGAUAACGAACGAGACCUUAACCUGCUAAAUAGCUGUAACAAUAGAUUAUUGUUUUGACAGCUUCUUAGAGGGACUAUCGAUUUUCAAGUCGAUGGAAGUUUGAGGCAAUAACAGGUCUGUGAUGCCCUUAGACGUUCUGGGCCGCACGCGCGCUACACUGACGGAGCCAGCGAGUCUAACCUGUGCCGAGAGGUAUGGGUAAUCUUGUGAAACUCCGUCGUGCUGGGGAUAGAGCAUUGCAAUUAUUGCUCUUCAACGAGGAAUUCCUAGUAAGCGCAAGUCACUAGCUUGCGUUGAUUACGUCCCUGCCCUUUGUACACACCGCCC
rnacentral:rRNA from 1 species